rnacentral:rRNA from 1 species
CCUACGGGGGGCAGCAGUGGGGAAUAUUGGACAAUGGGGGGAACCCUGAUCCAGCCAUGCCGCGUGUGUGAAGAAGGCCCUCGGGUUGUAAAGCACUUUCAGUGAGGAAGAACGCCUGGUGGUUAAUACCCAUCAGGAAAGACAUCACUCACAGAAGAAGCACCGGCUAACUCCGUGCCAGCAGCCGCGGUAAUACGGAGGGUGCGAGCGUUAAUCGGAAUUACUGGGCGUAAAGCGCGCGUAGGCGGCUUGAUAAGCCGGUUGUGAAAGCCCCGGGCUCAACCUGGGAACGGCAUCCGGAACUGUCAAGCUAGAGUGCAGGAGAGGAAGGUAGAAUUCCCGGUGUAGCGGUGAAAUGCGUAGAGAUCGGGAGGAAUACCAGUGGCGAAGGCGGCCUUCUGGACUGACACUGACACUGAGGUGCGAAAGCGUGGGUAGCAAACAGGAUUAGAUACCCUAGUAGUC